UACGAAGGGUGCAAACGUUGCUCGGAAUCAUUGGGCGUAAAGCGCACGUAGGCGGCCUUUCAAGUCGGAUGUGAAAUCCCUCGGCUCAACCAAGGAAGUGCAUCCGAAACUGGAAGGCUUGAGUACCAAAGAGGAUCGCGGAAUUCCCGGUGUAGAGGUGAAAUUCGUAGAUAUCGGGAGGAACACCAGUGGCGAAGGCGGCGAUCUGGGUGGAUACUGACGCUGAGGUGCGAAAGCGUGGGGAGCGAACAGG
rnacentral:rRNA from 1 species